rnacentral:snRNA from 1 species
GGAUGUGAGUGUGAUCUGGCUACAACAUGUGUCACCCCAUUGAUCACCAGGGUUGGUUCGGCUGAUCUGGCUGGCUAGGCGGGUGUCGCCUUCCUCCCUCAGUGCUCCAAGUGUAUCCCUCCCAAAGCUGCACACUCAGUCAAAGAGGAUGACCACCUCUAAUGGAGAAGGACUCUUCCUGGUCAAGGGUAUAUGAGUAGCUGCACUCCCCUGCUAGAACCAGCUCUCAAAACCUAGGACUACGAGUCCCAUUUGACCCAGCUAUUCCCCUUCUCGAUGUUUUCCCAAAGAGUUAAGCACAUUACAUCACAGUGAUAUAUGUAUACCCAUGUUUAU